rnacentral:rRNA from 1 species
AGCGAACGCUGGCGGCAGGCUUAACACAUGCAAGUCGAGCGGGCGUAGCAAUACGUCAGCGGCAGACGGGUGAGUAACGCGUGGGAACAUACCUCUUGGUUCGGAACAACACAGGGAAACUUGUGCUAAUACCGGAUAAGCCCUUACGGGGAAAGAUUUAUCGCCGAGAGAUUGGCCCGCGUCUGAUUAGCUAGUUGGUGAGGUAACGGCUCACCAAGGCGACGAUCAGAGCUGGUCUGAGAGGAUGAUCAGCCACAUUGGGACUGAGACACGGCCCAAACUCCUACGGGAGGCAGCAGUGGGGAAUAUUGGACAAUGGGCGCAAGCCUGAUCCAGCCAUGCCGCGUGAGUGAUGAAGGCCCUAGGGUUGUAAAGCUCUUUUGUGCGGGAAGAUAAUGACGGUACCGCAAGAAUAAGCCCCGGCUAACUUCGUG